rnacentral:rRNA from 1 species
UGCUUCUCUUGAGAGCGGCGGACGGGUGAGUAAUGCCUAGGAAUCUGCCUGGUAGUGGGGGAUAACGUCCGGAAACGGACGCUAAUACCGCAUACGUCCUACGGGAGAAAGCAGGGGACCUUCGGGCCUUGCGCUAUCAGAUGAGCCUAGGUCGGAUUAGCUAGUUGGUGGGGUAAUGGCUCACCAAGGCGACGAUCCGUAACUGGUCUGAGAGGAUGAUCAGUCACACUGGAACUGAGACACGGUCCAGACUCCUACGGGAGGCAGCAGUGGGGAAUAUUGGACAAUGGGCGAAAGCCUGAUCCAGCCAUGCCGCGUGUGUGAAGAAGGUCUUCGGAUUGUAAAGCACUUUAAGUUGGGAGGAAGGGCAGUAAAUUAAUACUUUGCUGUUUUGACGUUACCGACAGAAUAAGCACCGGCUAACUCUGUGCCAGCAGCCGCGGUAAUACAGAGGGUGCAAGCGUUAAUCGGAAUUACUGGGCGUAAAGCGCGCGUAGGUGGUUCGUUAAGUUGGAUGUGAAAUCCCCGGGCUCAACCUGGGAACUGCAUUCAAAACUGACGAGCUAGAGUAUGGUAGAGGGUGGUGGAAUUUCCUGUGUAGCGGUGAAAUGCGUAGAUAUAGGAAGGAACACCAGUGGC